rfam:Rhizophagus irregularis DAOM 197198w jcf7180003191710, whole genome shotgun sequence.
UCCGCAUUGGUCUAGUGGUUAGGAUAUCCCGUUCUCAUCGGGAAGGCCGGGGUUCGAUUCCCCGAUGUGGAU